AGCUUGACUGCGAGCGUGACGGCGCGAGCAGGUGCGAAAGCAGGUCAUAGUGAUCCGGUGGUUCUGAAUGGAAGGGCCAUCGCUCAACGGAUAAAAGGUACUCCGGGGAUAACAGGCUGAUACCGCCCAAGAGUUCAUAUCGACGGCGGUGUUUGGCACCUCGAUGUCGGCUCAUCACAUCCUGGGGCUGAAGUAGGUCCCAAGGGUAUGGCUGUUCGCCAUUUAAAGUGGUACGCGAGCUGGGUUUAGAACGUCGUGAGACAGUUCGGUCCCUAUCUGCCGUGGGCGCUGGAGAACUGAGGGGGGC
rnacentral:rRNA from 1 species